GGAAUAUUACGGGAACAUUCCGCAUUCUUAUGUUCCAGAACAUUAAAUUCCAGAAUAUUACGUUUUGAAUUUUUAUAGCACUCCAUAUAUUAUAUGCAUAGAAACUUACAUACCUAAAUGAUUACAUUGAAAUUCACUAGUUUAAAUUUAAAAUAAAUAAAUAAAAAUAAUAAAAACUCGAUUUUAAGGAAUUUUCUUUUGUAGGUU